ACAGCAUUAGUCUUCCGCAGCAAGACACACACAUCCCUCAGCACCAAGAUGUUGAAGCUCGUCGUCGUGCUGGUGCUCGCCGUCCUGGCCGCCGUCUCCGCCCAGCCCCAGCUGAUCGCCACCACGCCGUACGUGGCCAGCCCGCUGUACCGCUCCGCCUACUACAGCACCGGCUACGCAUCGUAUCCCUACGCCUACAGUGCCUACAGCGCCCCACUCGCCUACUCGCCCCUCGCCUACUCCAGCGCAUACCUGUACCGUUAGGAAUGAAGUCCGUCAAAGUCAAGUGAUCAGUAUGCCUCCGAAGGAUGCGAAACGCAAUAACUUUCAAACGGCAGCGGCUUUUCUACUGACACGAAUUGCCGUACGGAUUAGGUAAAUCACUCCCACCGCCAACAUUUGACGAACAUGUGUACCAAUUCUUCGAAAUAUAAAACCUAAUUUUUAA